rnacentral:rRNA from 1 species
GACGAACGCUGGCGGCGUGCUUAACACAUGCAAGUCGAACGGUAAGGCCCUUCGGGGUACACGAGUGGCGAACGGGUGAGUAACACGUGGGUACUCUGCCCUGCACAUCUGGAUACGCCUGGUAAACUGGGUCUAAUACCGAAUAGGCCCACAGGACACUUGUCCUUUGGUUGAAAUCUUUUGCGGUGUUGGAUCGGCCCGCGGCCUAUCCGAGUGUUGGUGGGGUGAUGGCUUACCAAGGCGACGACGGGUAGCAGGCCUGAGAGGGUGUCCGGCCACACGGGGACGGAGAUACGGCCAAGACUCCUACGGGAGGCAGCAGUGGGGAAUAUGGCAGAAUGGGCGAAAGCCUGAUGCAGCGACGCCGCGGGGGGGAUGACGGCCUUCGGGUUGUAAACCUCUGUCACCAGAGACGAAGGUCCGGGUUUUCUCGGGCUGACGGUAGGUGGAGAAGAAGCACCGGCCAACUACGUG